rnacentral:rRNA from 1 species
UACAGAGGGUGCAAGCGUUAAUCGGAAUUACUGGGCGUAAAGCGAGCGUAGUCGGUUAUUUAAGUCGGGUGUGAAAGCCCCGGGCUCAACCUGGGAAUUGCAUUCGAUACUGGAUAGCUAGAGUUCGGCAGAGGGAAGCGGAAUUUCCGGUGUAGCGGUGAAAUGCGUAGAUAUCGGGAGGAACACCAAUGGCGAAGGCAGCUCGCUGGGACGUGACUGACGCUGAGACGCGAAAGCGUGGGGAGCAAACAGG